GAUUCGUUCAUUGACUGAACGUUUACCUGCACUUCGGUUAAAACCUAUGCCUAACCUAGAGAGAAAUAAUAAAACACCGUGCGCAGUAUUAAUCCUUUAUGAAUAUUGUAUGUACAUGAUGUUUAUUUUAAAUUCUAUUUUGUUUAAUAAUUUGAACAGUUUUUCUUAAAGUGCCUCAGUUUUCCAUAAAUGUAUAUUUUAAACAAACAACAUUUUUCUCCAGAAAACCUGCUUGCGAAUGGGGGUUAAAUCCUAUUAUAGUCUACUGCUGUGCGGCAAAGAAAAAAAAGUCUAACUAGCUCAGCGCAAUGGAAUUGAACCUCUCUGUCUUUAUUCUGAAGUAA